UGGACAGAUUAUUAUAUUCGACUGUAUUCAACUAUAUUCACGACGUGAAACGGGGAAUUACACUGUUUUUAAACGGAAAGUGAAUCAAUUAACAUAAUAGACUCCU
rfam:Nicotiana sylvestris Nsyl_contig54657, whole genome shotgun sequence.